rnacentral:rRNA from 1 species
UACGUAGGGGGCUAGCGUUGUCCGGAAUCAUUGGGCGUAAAGCGCGUGUAGGCGGUCCGGUAAGUCCGCUGUGAAAGUCGGGGGCUCAACCCUCGAAAGCCGGUGGAAACUGUCGGGCUAGAGUGCGGAAGAGGCGAGUGGAAUUCCCGGUGUAGCAGUGAAAUGCGUAGAGAUCGGGAGGAACAUCAGUUGCGAAGGCGGCUCUCUGGACCAGCACUGACACUGAGGCACGAAAGCGUGGGGAGCAAACAGG